rnacentral:rRNA from 1 species
AUUGAACGCUGGCGGCAGGCCUAACACAUGCAAGUCGAGCGGAUGAACUGAUCUUUCUCCUGGAUUCCGCGGCGCACGGGUGUGUAAUGCCUAGGAAUCUUCCUCGUUGUAGUUCGUGACGUCCGGGAACGGGCGCUAAUACCGCAUACGUCCUGAGGGAGAUAGUUGCGGAUCUUCGGACCUCACGCUAUCAGAUGUGCCUAGGUCGGAUUAGCUAGUUGGUGGGGUAAAGGCCUAUCAAGGCGACGAUCCGUAACUGGUCUGAGAGGAUGAUCAGUCACACUGGAAGUGAGACACGGUCAAGAGGACUACGGGAGGCAGCAGUGGGGAAUAGUGGACAAUGGGCGAAAGCAUGAUACAGCCAGGCCGCGUGUGUGAAGAAGGUGUUCGGAUUGUAAAGAACUUUAAGUUGGGAGGAAGGGCAGUAAGUUAAUACCUUGCUGUUUUGACGUUACCAACAGAAGAAGCACCGGCUAACUACGCG